UCACGGGAGGACUCGGGGUGCGGUCUGUAGGGCCUGAGAACGUGGGGUUGCGGGAGCGGGACCGUCUCUUCCCGUCCGUCGGGCGGGGGCCCCCAGGGCUGGGGCUGCUGGGAUGCGGGACAGCCGCCGGUGGGGAGGCCCCACGCGGGGUUCUAGGACCUGCCCGGUGCCGCAGCCAGCGCCAGUGCAGGGGUCACCUAGCGCUCCUCUGUUGGCAGGUCUUGGCUCGCUCAGGAGGUACUCAAGUCCUUGUGAGUGAAUGAAUGGGCAGCCGCUAAGCACCACGGGCGUCCUGAGCUCCUCCUCCACCACUUCCAACAGGUCGAGGAACCGGACUCGCUAUCGGACCAAAGCCGUGAGCUCCGAGGUGGAUGAGAGCCUCUUUGGAGGUGCCAAGCAUCGAGGGGGGCUCUGCUGCAGGGAGCAGAUGGCUGCCCAGUGGGUGCCCCAGGAUGAAAACGUUUGAGGGCUGCCAACCGAGCUCGUGGACGACCCUCCGUCCAAGCGCAGCAUCGGAGCAAACCACAGGUCCUCCGGGGUGCGUUGGCUUUGGGAACCCCCAGCAGGUCUUCACGGGCAGUGUUGUCCCCACUGGGAGGCCGACAGCAUAUUCCGGGCAGAGAAGGGGGGCUAGCUAGAGCACGCCCCGAAAUGUUCCAUCACACGGCAGGUGCAGAAGGUAGGGAGACAAGGACAGAACGGGAAGGGGACGUGGAGAGAGCACAGCGAGAGACAGAGGGACAAAGGGGGGGACGGGAAAGACGCCAGAAGCCGUGGGAGCGCUGGGUGCACCCCUCUGAGGCGGGCAGGCGGCAGGAGCCGAGCGGACGUGUGUGCUCCUCCCUGUCCUCGCCCUGAGCCCAAGAGGACUUUCCAGGGGCACCUGGGUGUUGGGUCGGCUGAGCGUCCAACUCCUGGUUUGGGCUCCGGUGUGAUCUCAGGGUUGUGAGAUCGAGCCCACCUCCUCCCUCCUCCAGCUCCGCCUGGCGGGUCUGCUUGGGGAUCCCGUCUCCCUCUCCCAAUGCCUCGGCCCUCACUCCAGUCGCCCGUCUCUCUCUCUCCCUCUCUCUCUCGUAAAUAAAUAAAUCUUAAACAAACA
rnacentral:lncRNA from 12 species